rnacentral:rRNA from 1 species
UUGAGAGUCCUGAAGGAACGUUGAAGACGACGACGUUGAUAGGCCGGGUGUGUAAGCGCAGCGAUGCGUUGAGCUAACCGGUACUAAUGAACCGUGAGGCUUAACCUUACAACGCCGAAGGUGUUU